rnacentral:rRNA from 1 species
GACGAACGCUGGCGGCGUGCUUAACACAUGCAAGUCGAACGGAAAGGCCCUGCUUUUGUGGGGUGCUCGAGUGGCGAACGGGUGAGUAACACGUGAGUAACCUGCCCUUGACUUUGGGAUAACUUCAGGAAACUGGGGCUAAUACCGGAUAGGAGCUCCUGCUGCAUGGGGGGGGUUGGAAAGUUUCGGCGGUUGGGGCUGGACUCGCGGCUUAUCAGCUUGUUGGUGGGGUAGUGGCUUACCAAGGCUUUGACGGGUAGCCGGCCUGAGAGGGUGACCGGCCACAUUGGGACUAAGAUACGGACCAGAAUCCUACGGGAGGCAGCAGUGGGGAAUAUUGCACAAUGGGCGGAAGCCUGAUGCAGCAACGCCGCGUGCGGGAUGACGGCCUUCGGGCUGUAAACCGCUUUCGCCUGUGACGAAGCGUGAGUGACGGUAAUGGGUAAAGAAGCACCGGCUAACUACGUG